CAAAUACUCCCUCCGUCCCAAAAUUCUUGUCUUAGAUUUGUGUAGAUAUGAAUGUAUCUAGUCACGUUUUAAUAUUUUGAUACAUCCAUUUCUAGACAAACCUAAGACAAAAAUUUUGGGACGGAGGAAGUAUAAG
rnacentral:pre_miRNA from 1 species